rnacentral:rRNA from 1 species
UGAAUAUGGGGGGACCAUCCUCCAAGGCUAAAUACUCCUGACUGACCGAUAGUGAACCAGUACCGUGAGGGAAAGGCGAAAAGAACCCCGGCGAGGGGAGUGAAAAAGAACCUGAAACCGUGUACGUACAAGCAGUGGGAGCACCCUUUUGGGUGUGACUGCGUACCUUUUGUAUAAUGGGUCAGCGACUUAUAUUCUGUAGCAAGGUUAACCGAAUAGGGGAGCCGAAGGGAAACCGAGUCUUAACUGGGCGUUAAGUUGCAGGGUAUAGACCCGAAACCCGGUGAUCUAGCCAUGGGCAGGUUGAAGGUUGGGUAACACUAACUGGAGGACCGAACCGACUAAUGUUGAAAAAUUAGCGGAUGACUUGUGGCUGGGGGUGAAAGGCCAAUCAAACCGGGAGAUAGCUGGUUCUCCCCGAAAGCUAUUUAGGUAGCGCCUCGUGAAUUCAUCUCCGGGGGUAGAGCACUGUUUCGGCAAGGGGGUCAUCCCGACUUACCAACCCGAUGCAAACUGCGAAUACCGGAGAAUGUUAUCACGGGAGACACACGGCGGGUGCUAACGUCCGUCGUGAAGAGGGAAACAACCCAGACCGCCAGCUAAGGUCCCAAAGUCAUGGUUAAGUGGGAAACGAUGUGGGAAGGCCCAGACAGCCAGGAUGUUGGCUUAGAAGCAGCCAUCAUUUAAAGAAAGCGUAAUAGCUCACUGGUCGAGUCGGCCUGCGCGGAAGAUGUAACGGGGCUAAACCAUG